GGACUUGUGGCUCAGUGGGAGAGCACCUGACUGGCAUGCAGGAGGUCCCGGGUUCAGCCCCUGACAUUUCCA